rfam:Ciona savignyi cont_49720, whole genome shotgun sequence.
UACCUGGUUGAUCCUGCCAGUAGUCAUAUGCUUGUCUCAAAGAUUAAGCCAUGCAAGUCUAAGUACGAGCUCUCGUACAGUGAAACUGCGAAUGGCUCAUUAAAUCAGUUAUGGUUCAUUUGAUCGUACAGUUUACUUGGAUAACUGUGGUAAUUCUAGAGCUAAUACAUGCGAGAAGC